UGUCAUAAUUUUUAGUAGAAGAGAAUGUGAUAGAAAGCUUGAGAUGCAUAUCCUUGAAAACUAUUUUUAUUUUUAGUCAAUACAACUUUAGAGUAACCUAUUCUACAGUUGAUCCCCUGUAAGAAGUAAAAAUUUUCCUUAGGAUCAUGUAAUUUAUUGCUGGAGAAGAAUGAAGAAAUCACUUAAUCCUAUCCUUUCAUUUACAGAUGAGAAAUCUGUUCAUUCACAGAUGAGAAAUGAUGUGUACGACUCAGUGCUACACAGCCAGCUAAUGAUGGAGUCUGGACUGGAAUCCAGGUCUCAUGACAAGAAGUCCAGUUCACAUUCCAUCUCUGUCAAGCUAAGGCCACAAGCACGCACCCAUCUCUCCAGUUUAAGAGAUCAAGAAGCAUAAUUUUCCCUCCCAGAAACCAAUCAGAAGGGCAUGCAAUGCCUAGAAAUGCCAAUCCAGCCACUGCAUCUAAGAGGUGCGUUAAAGAAGGCCACAGUGUCUGUGAAUGCAGGUAAGAGAGAAAACGUGUCUGGCUAGCAAAAUUCAAAGAAGAUGCCCACCAUCAAGAAAACGAAACCUUUUCUCCAACAUAAGAUUUUCUCCAACAAUUUUCUUUCUGGCAUAAGAAAGUUCUGAGUUAAUAGUAAAAUAGCAUCUUGUGCAUUUUAGCUUCCAUUCUGAUGUUUCCUAUAUUUCCCCUUUUUUAGAUGAGACUGAAAUGAGAAUAUUAGCUGCAUUCAUCUAUCCAUUCAUCCAAAUACUCACUCCCUAUACAGCAUGCCAUAUGUGAAGGCUUAAAAAUACAUAAUGCUUCUAUUUUCAUCUACUUCCAUAAAUAAGCACUAUAAAUUAUGCCCAGCCAUCAGAUAAUAUUAUUGAGCAUCUGUUUAUGGCAUUUAAAUGUCUAAAGGGGCUAAGGUUGUUUAGACGAGAAAGGAGAAUACCAGAAGUAGCAUUUGUGACAGCCUAUUAUUCAAAGGGCAGUAAACAACUAUUUGUCAUACACCCUUAAGAAUGAACAAGAGAAAAGAAGCUUGCAAGUAUAAG
rnacentral:lncRNA from 1 species